CUGCCUGCUUCCGCCUGACACCCCCUCUGCCCUCCGUCCUGACGUCCGCCACGUGCGGGUCAGCCACGCCGAUGCCCCAAGGAAGCGGCUGCAGAUUUGGCCUCAGAGGGCUUCUUCCCUGGGUCUCCUGCACAUGGAGCUCCUCUCCAGAAAUGCCGUUUGCACAGCAGGCGAGCCAGAUCCGGGCCAGGGCCCGGCACCCUCAGCACCCUGCUGCUGAGUGUAAGGUCCACACCCCCCCCCCCUUACCGCAGUUGUCUCCAUCUGUUUCCUACGGUGGUGGCAGCCUCGGUGCCCCUAGACUGCACUUCAAAGAGGCUCUUCCAGCCCCUCCCUCCCAUGCUGUGCUCCUGUUCCGAUGUGCUUUUUCCCACUAGAACAGAGGCUGAAAAAACCUGCUCCUUGUUUCUCUCCCAUCGCACCCAGGGCUACGGAGCAACCACACAGAAGCCAUGCGGCCGAGACUGAGCUACGGAGGCCAGAAGCCUCAGAGACAGACACCAACAGGAGAUGGAAAGAAGGCCCAAAGCACCCCACUUGCAUGGAAUGCUGAUCUCUCAAAAGCCAAGGAAGACCCACGGCUAGUCAGAGGCGACCCCCUUCCCACUUUCUCAAGUGCCAGGGUCAUAGACCUGAGCCAGAGGUCCACCUGGCCAGCCCCGGGAGCAGGGGGCAGUGGGUACACAGACCAUAGAACAAGCAUCAGAGCUGAAGGGGGUUAUGUGCUCAGGCUGACAUGCUCACCCACACGGCCAAGGCCUCCAAGCCCAUUAGGUGACAGACAAGCUACAAACGUGUCACAUGCUAUGCCCUGGCCCCCCAACACCUCCUGCAUCUUAUAGCGAUGAGCUGGCAAGGGAGAGACAGGCGGGAGAACAGACUGCUCCGGUCACGUGGUCAGGGGGAGCUGGAGGCGGGGCAGGAAUGCAGGCUGAGGCCUCUCUCUGGCCUGGGCAGGGAAUUUGGGGAGGCCCUAGGAAGGGGCCCAGGACACUACCAACUCAGAGCCACCGCCUCCAGUUCCCCCCCCCGGGCUCUGGCAGUUCCACAGGGCUCAGCCAUCCUCACUCUAAAGAAAACACGGCCGCUUCCUCUCAGCAGUAACGCAGGGUGGCUGUGACACGGCAGAGCCCAGUCACCCGACGAUCACUCCUGCAGGAAGCAGCUCAGGUGACUCAGAGCAGAACUGAACCCCUGCCCUGGUCUGAGAGCUCUGAGAAGCCAUCCACGGUGCCCACCCCAGCCACAGACACAGGCUGCGCCGUCCGCCAUGGCUGGGGUUGUCCAGCGAGGCGCUCUCAGACAGCAGGCAGCUUGCACUGUGGAUCAAGAGCCCGACUGCUCCUCUGACGGAUCCUGGGCUCCUGGGCCUCCCGGAGCUCUGGAGCUGCUGAGUGUGGGAAGGCACAGGUGUCCUGGUCUCUAAAAACUGGAAGUUCUCUUUCUACGCCCAUGUACACAAACAUCAAGUGUAUAUCCGUACCGCAGAGAAAACAUCCAGAAGCACCCACGCCAAGCUACUUUCGGACGCUGACUGGGUAAGCAGAAUGGAGCUUUUGUUGAACCAACCAAAAAGCAACUGCUGUGCCCCCAGAAAGAAGGUGGUAUCUGCCCUGGGGUCCUGUCACCCCAGGACCACGUGGGUCCUUAACCCGGGGAAAGGAGGGCCCUCCUAGCCCGUACUCUGCCCUAGGGGGCAUCUUUCUCUUUCAGUCCUGGCUCAGGCUCUGCCUGCCCUGGGUCCCUCUACCCCUUAGUCCAGCCACGUCCACCUCCCCCACUAGGACCUACCUGCCCGUCAGAGUCGUAGCCCCAGCUAGUGGUCCCUGCCAGAGCCACAGCCCGGGCAUCCGCAUCUCGGUGGGCUGCACUCAGGACAAAAUGCCAGGCUCUGCUGCUCCGAGGGCGCCUGGCCAUGGUGGACAGGAUCUGGAAGGAAACCCAGGUUCUGAGCGGAGAAGACAUGAGAACCAUCUUCUGCCAACUGUGCCAGCCCCCUCCAAAGGUGGAGGCUCUCAGCCCUGCGGAUGCUGAGCACGGGCUCUGGAACUCUUCCCAACCUCAGACUCCCUCCUGUGUGCAAGCACCUUGAUGAACGCGAGGCACAGAGUGUGGAACACUGUCCAGAUGCCCAUGACUCUCAAAUGCAUAUCUCAGCUCCUGUCUGAGCUCAGCCUGUCGAACCCAGCUGUCCCUCAGGCAUCUCAAACCUUGUCUGACUUCUCCUUGUCCAGUUUAACAAAUGGCAUUUCCAACCUCCCAGUUCCUCAUGCCAGACCCAUAGCAGUCACCGUGAACACCCCUUUCCUCCCUCGGGCGGUAGCCUGACAGCCCCACACGCCCAGCACCGCCUCCAAACCGUGUCCUGAACCCCUCCAUCCCCGCUGCCACCCCAACUUCCAGCCACAACUCACCUUCAAUCUGGCUCCUCCCACUUCACUCAUUACAGCCAAGCUGACUUUUUGGAAACACAAAUCUUAAAAAUUUAAGCAAAUCUCAACCAA